UGGGCAGUGACCCCGCUCUGUCGCAGGCCGCAUUUCGGUGCCGCUGGACCUGCAGAGUCUGGACCAGUUUGACCCGUUUGCCGUCCCCACCAUCACAUCCCUGUGCCAGGAGCUGGACACGGCCGGCAGCGACGGGGAGCAGGAGGAGGUCGGGGAGACGGAGCCGAAACGCCGAGCGAGGGACUAUAGGAAGACAAGCCUGGCCCCUUACGUGAGGGUCUUCGAGCAGUUCGUGGAGGGGAUGGAAAGCGCCCGGCGGGGAGAGCGGAUCCGUCGGAGCGAUCUGCAAGGAGAUUUCUGAGGCCUUGACGCUGAGGGAUCCACUGCCAGUGUCACGUCUUGUCAUUGUCACCUCUGCUGGCCAUGGGGAUCCCGGUGCCUCGGAGCAGCCAAACCUCACGGCCUCCCUGCCCCUUCCCCAGUUUUUGUACUUUUUGUACUGUUUUCUACGCAAAUACCAUUAAAUGUUUCUGGUCACCCGUG